ensembl:lncRNA
AAUACCCUCAAGGAAUAUUAGGUUAAAAAAUGUUUUGAAAAAAAAAUGUCAAAAUAUUUUAUCAUAGAAAAGGAAGUCUAAAAAAAUGAACUACGUCUUGAAGUCUUUAAGAUUUUUAACAAAAGUCAGGUAAUUACCCAGGUGAAAUGUAGGGUCCUUUUCUCCUAGACUUCAAUUUUGUUAGCAUUGUUAGAUGCUAGCGACGGCUUAGCAUCCUGCAUGUUAAGGGUCGUGUAAAGGGAAACAAAUGACAAAUGCGAACAAAAACAAAUGCUCUGAAUUAUGUCCAGAGCAGCUUUAAUUACGAUGUGAAUUCUGUGUAAAUUAAAAUGUAUUCAGAAAACAUAAGUGAACUGGGGGAAUAGAGCCGACCGAUUGACAGAUCCCGAAGCAAAGUGUGGCUGUACAGCGGCUGUAAGGUUACGGUGAAGAAGUACUCGGAGAAACAGAGCAUGGGUGAAGGUGGCGCCUGCUCACUGCCAACCCCGCUGUGUUGAGUUAGCAAAGGGCCGAGGACUCACACACAUGCAUACAAAUGAUCAGGCCCCAGAAAAGCGAGUGAGAGGGAGAGCCGAGGAGGAGAGAGUACAUUCAUCAGGGAGGACGGCAUCGCGUUCCAAGCGGCUUUGCAAGAGAUCAGGCUGCGGCGUGUUGUGAUUCCCCCUGGGUCACCACUAUAUCCUGCUUCAUUCACAACGCCGCCUCGCCUCAGCUCAUCAAUGCUGCGCCUCACAAUCGAUCAUUUCCAUAAAACGCCGCGCAGGCUUAGGCUUAUUCCUUCUCUUCACCCCCGGCCUCCAAAAAAUGAAAAAAACAAACAAACAUAAGAAACACUGUCAAACUUGGUCUUGACCAAAUUUCAACUACCAGAUUAACUACGUACAAUAUGUAUGAGGUUGUGACCUCACAAGAUUUCUAUUCUUUAUCUUUUUUUCUUUUCUUGUAUUGGCAAGUAUUGACUGACUGGGGAAGUAUGUUGUUGUUGUAAUAGCAUCAGUGUCUGUGGCUCAUCCAUCCUGCCCAUCACGUCUCUAAUGCUCCCGCAGUACCGAUAUAAAUCAGGAGCAAAAGUAAGGUCUAACAUGGAAAAAGAUGAAGAGUUGGAGUUGUUGUUCUUGUUGGCAUGGCGAUAAUUGUU